CCUACGGGAGGCAGCAGUGGGGAAUAUUGGACAAUGGGGGGAACCCUGAUCCAGCCAUGCCGCGGGUGUGAAGAAGGCCCUCGGGUUGUAAAGCACUUUCAGUGAGGAAGAACGCCUGGUGGUUAAUACCCAUCAGGAAAGACAUCACUCACAGAAGAAGCACCGGCUAACUCCGUGCCAGCAGCCGCGGUAAUACGGAGGGUGCGAGCGUUAAUCGGAAUUACUGGGCGUAAAGCGCGCGUAGGUGGCUUGAUAAGCCGGUUGUGAAAGCCCCGGGCUCAACCUGGGAACGGCAUCCGGAACUGUCAAGCUAGAGUGCAGGAGAGGAAGGUAGAAUUCCCGGUGUAGAGGUGAAAGGCGUAGAGAUCGGGAGGAAUACCAGUGGCGAAGGCGGCCUUCUGGACUGACACUGACACUGAGGUGCGAAAGCGUGGGUAGCAAACAGGAUUAGAUACCCUUGUAGUC
rnacentral:rRNA from 1 species